rnacentral:rRNA from 1 species
GACGAACGCUGGCGGCGUGCUUAACACAUGCAAGUCGAACGGAAAGGCCCUGCUUUUGUGGGGUGCUCGAGUGGCGAACGGGUGAGUAACACGUGAGUAACCUGCCCUUGACUUUGGGAUAACUUCAGGAAACUGGGGCUAAUACCGGAUAGGAGCUCCUGCUGCAUGGUGGGGGUUGGAAAGUUUCGGCGGGUGGGGAUGGACUCGCGGCUUAUCAGCUUGUUGGUGGGGUAGUGGCUUACCAAGGCUUUGACGGGUAGCCGGCCUGAGAGGGUGACCGGCCACAUUGGGACUGAGAUACGACCCAGACUCCUACGGGAGGCAGCAGUGGGGAAUAUUGCACAAUGGGCUGAAGCCUGAUGCAGCAACGCCGCGUGCGGGAUGACGGCCUUCGGGUUGUAAACCGCUUUCGCCUGUGACGAAGCGUGAGUGACGGUAAUGGGUAAAGAAGCACCGGCUAACUACGUG